UACAGAGGGGGCGAGCGUUGUUCGGAAUUACUGGGCGUAAAGGGCGCGUAGGCGGCCUCUUAAGUCGAACGUGAAAUCCCCGGGCUCAACCCGGGAACUGCGUCCGAUACUGGGGGGCUUGAAUCCGGGAGAGGGAUGUGGAAUUCCAGGUGUAGCGGUGAAACGCGUAGAUAUCUGGAGGAACACCGGUGGCGAAGGCGGCAUCCUGGACCGGUAUUGACGCUGAGGCGCGAAAGCCAGGGGAGCAAACGGG
rnacentral:rRNA from 1 species